rnacentral:rRNA from 1 species
AGUGAACGCUGGCGGUAGGCCUAACACAUGCAAGUCGAACGGCAGCACAGUAAGAGCUUGCUCUUACGGGUGGCGAGUGGCGGACGGGUGAGGAAUACAUCGGAAUCUACUUUUUCGUGGGGGAUAACGUAGGGAAACUUACGCUAAUACCGCAUACGACCUACGGGUGAAAGCAGGGGAUCUUCGGACCUUGCGCGAUUGAAUGAGCCGAUGUCGGAUUAGCUAGUUGGCGGGGUAAAGGCCCACCAAGGCGACGAUCCGUAGCUGGUCUGAGAGGAUGAUCAGCCACACUGGAACUGAGACACGGUCCAGACUCCUACGGGAGGCAGCAGUGGGGAAUAUUGGACAAAGGGCGCAAGCCUGAUCCAGCCAUGCCGCGUGGGUGAAGAAGGCCUUCGGGUUGUAAAGCCCUGUUGUUGGGAAAGAAAAGCAGCAGGUUAAUACCCCGCUGUUCUGACGGUACCCAAAGAAUAAGCACCGGCUAACUACGUG